GCAAGGCACGGUGCAGGCUGAGUCAGCGAAGCUGAACCUGCCUACGGGGUCGGAGCAGCGAGGCGUUCCCGCGGCCGCGGCAUAGACACCGGUCACAGGCGGACCCAGGCUGCAGUGUAACAUUCCAUCCUUCUGGAGGACAGGGAAGGGAAAUGGCUGCCGUGGAGCCAGUGCAGGGGCCGGUGACCUUCGAGGAGGUGGCUGUGUAUUUCAC